rnacentral:tRNA from 2 species
GGGCUCGUGGUCUAGCUGGUUUAUGACGUCGCCUUGACACGGCGGAGGUCUUGAGUUCGAAUCUCAACGAGCCCA